rnacentral:rRNA from 1 species
UACGGAGGGUGCAAGCGUUUGUCCGGAAUCACUGGGCGUAAAGGGCGCGUAGGCGGCUCAUGAAGGCUGUGGUGAAAGUCCGGGGCUCAACCUCGGAUCGGCCGUGGCGACUCGUGGGCUGGAGCACUGUAGAGGCGGGUGGAAUUCCGGGUGUAGCGGUGGAAUGCGUAGAGAUCCGGAAGAACACCAGUGGCGAAGGCGGCCCGCUGGGCAGUGGCUGACGCUGAGGCGCGACAGCGGUGGGGAGCAAACAGGAUUAGACUUACCGUAGUCAGUCC